AUAACGUUUGGACCGUCGGUCUACUGAGCAAUUUCCCCUCUCGGUAAAAAAUCUUCCCUCUGUCGU
rnacentral:pre_miRNA from 1 species